UACGUAGGUGGCAAGCGUUGUCCGGAUUUACUGGGCGUAAAGCGUGCGCAGGCGGUUCGUUGUGUCCGAUGUGAAAGCCCCGGGCUUAACCUGGGAAUGGCAUUGGAAACUGGCGAGCUUGAGUGCGGCAGAGGGGGGUGGAAUUCCGCGUGUAGCAGUGAAAUGCGUAGAGAUGCGGAGGAACACCGAUGGCGAAGGCAGCCCCCUGGGUCGACACUGACGCUCAGGCACGAAAGCGUGGGGAGCAAACAGG
rnacentral:rRNA from 1 species